CUACGGGUUGUCAAAGCGUCCAAUCAGAAGAAUAUAAAUACUCAAAUAGCAUGAUUUGAUGUAGAAUCAGCGGAUCAGCAGGUGUAUUCCUAACUCUGCAAUGUUCUGUUGAUUUCCAUGCCUCAGCUGAUAUGGAGGUGGCUACCGCUCUGUAACUAUCUUUACUUGCUUAGUUCUUGUAUUUGUCUAUUGGCAGUUUGUAUGUAUGUUUCUCUAUCUUGUCAUUGAUAUAUUUAUCAGCUGGAAACAAUUUGUAAAUGUUUUUUAUUAUUUCCAGAUCAUCGUCUCAACAAGCUGCUGAAGAAAGACAUGAGUCGAGGAGCAAGUCGAGGAGCAAGGGUGACCAACACAUGCUGCCGUGGACAGUUUUAUGUUUUCUAAAGUUUUUUGGAUUGCUCUUCCAUGUAGGCCGGAAAUUCUCUUGUGGAAGUGGUGGAGGAGGCAACGACAUCACAAUCUCAUUGACUACAUCCAGUUAAGCAACGUAGUUAUAUGAAGUAGUGCAAUACAAUAUGAACGUCUAUUUGUGAUAACUAGCUGUCUCUUGUGUAUUUAGUCAGAUCACCUGCUACCGUUUCUAUGCCAUCAAUGAGACAACUUGCCAUCUUUGUUGAAGCAAUUGAAGAAAAUGCAGAAGAGUCGCCAGACAGAACAGUCACACAAACGUCUGUCACAAGCAAUCCAAUCUAUAAGCUCUGACAUUCCUGCAUGGAAUGACUGCAGAAUCCAAGGAAAGAAACAAACUUCAACAGGAAGAGAUAUGCCUGAUUGGGUGAAGUAAUUUCAAAUGGAACAUUCAGUUGUACAUUGUUUAUGAAGGUGGAGUGAGAUAGAAAGAUAAAGUCGGAUUGAAAGCUCUUCAUGUUCUCCGUCUAUCAGUAGGAAUAAUAGUGACACAUCAAAUGGUCUUCCUCUCCUGUCAUUGUGGUCACGUGACGCUUACUCUACAGGUCACGUGAUGUUUGUAACGCUAUGGAUGAGAACAAGCGUCUCAUAGUGUGAAGACUGAAUAUUUAAUUCUAGAUACUUUUAUUUGUUUAAGAGAUGUAUUGUAUUCAUCGAGUAUUUCCGGGUAAGCUAGUGGGACGU